rnacentral:rRNA from 1 species
CCUACGGGAGGCAGCAGUGGGGAAUCUUGGACAAUGGGCGCAAGCCUGAUCCAGCCAUGCCGCGUGAGUGAUGAAGGCCUUAGGGUCGUAAGGCUCUUUCGCCAGAGAUGAUAAUGACAGUAUCUGGUAAAGAAACCCCGGCUAACUCCGUGCCAGCAGCCGCGGUAAUACGGAGGGGGUUAGCGUUGUUCGGAAUUACUGGGCGUAAAGCGCGCGUAGGCGGACCAGAAAGUUAGGGGUGAAAUCCCGGGGCUCAACCCCGGAACUGCCUCUAAAACUCCUGAUCUAGAGUUCGAGAGAGGUGAGUGGAAUUCCGAGUGUAGAGGUGAAAUUCGUAGAUAUUCGGAGGAACACCAGUGGCGAAGGCGGCUCACUGGCUCGAUACUGACGCUGAGGUGCGAAAGUGUGGGGAGCAAACAGGAUUAGAUACCCUGGUAGUCCACACCGUAAACGAUGAAUGCCAGUCGUCGGGUAGCAUGCUAUUCGGUGACACACCUAACGGAUUAAGCAUUCCGCCUGGGGAGUACGGUCGCAAGAUUAAAACUCAAAGGAAUUGACGGGG